rnacentral:pre_miRNA from 1 species
CGGGGUUUCACGGUGCCAGCCGAGCCCCACAGCGGAUCCACUGGCCCGUAAAGUCCCGAC